rnacentral:tRNA from 1 species
GUUUUUAUGGUGUAAAUUAACACACUACAUUUUCGUUGUAGAGUUGAAAACUAAUUCUAAAAAUA